GGAGAGAUGGUCGAGCUGGUUGAAGGCACCGGUCUUGAAAACCGGCGAAGUGCAAGCUUCCGGGGGUUCGAAUCCCCCUCUCUCCGCCA
rnacentral:tRNA from 1 species